rnacentral:lncRNA from 1 species
UCAUUGAUUUCUAUGUAAAUAUGCACAGGUGAUGUCCAUAUAGACAUAAAAAAUAAUAUUUCUGACAGUGGGUCCAUAUGAUCUUCAAAAUGUAAAAUGCCUGUCUGUGUAAUUGACUGGUUAGACUCAUUAAUGAAUAUAGAUUCAAUUCUACUUUCUUGUUGUAGAUAAAUUAUAUAAUCUAGCUUUUCAUUUCACUUUUUUACUGAUAACAACAGGAAGAAUGACAAGAUCUGUAUUUUGGAAAAUUACUCUGGUAGGAGUAAAGAUGAAACAAUGAUAGAAUUGCACGGACAACUAGAAAAAAGUAUGGUCUUCUGAUAUUCUAUCACAUCACAUACUAAAGGCCUCAUAAAACUCAGAUAUUUUAUCUAAAAAUGUUAUUUUCAUCAUAGGAAUGAUAAAAGCAUGAGAGUACAGUUGUAUUAAAAUGUGCUUGUAUCACAAGCACAGGUGCUAAAAAGGAGGGGAAAACAUCCUUACUGAUAUUUUCAAUGUAUGUUUUACUUUUCAUCAACAUGAACCUCAACUUGAUAUGAUGCAGAUUGAAGGAAAUCACCCAUAAUUCCAUAUGAAAAAGGCCUGUGAUAUUUUAUGGGAAAAUAAAUAGAGAAAAUGCUAACGGAAACUCUGUUAAGCAUGAAGCUUUAUGGAGCAAACACAAAUCCAGUGGUGAAAGAUACACACUCGAGUUCUGUUUGUUGUCUUGGAACAAUACGGUUUAGAGGUGACUGGCGGGUGAGGAGAACAUAUGCGAGUUCACCAAAGAGAAAAGCUGAAUGAGGCAAUGCCUCUUCCUGACCAUAUCUCUUACUCAGAUAACUAUAGAAUUUAUUGUCCAGUAAAGGGUAUAUUAAAAAAUCAUAUUAAAAGUCAUGCAGUGAAGUUGUCCAGGGAAAUCAAGACUUAACAGUCUCACUCUGACAAUAAUGAACAGGGGGAUUCCCUCAAGAUAGACUAGGACAUGACCCCACACUGGCAGGUAGUAGUACCAGAAAAGAACGCAUGGAAAAUCUUUACCUUAUGCUUGAGGUAGGGACCAGGCUAAAGUGAAAGCCAGACCUAAAAUUCUAUCUAAAAUAAAUCCACAAUCGAAGAAAAUAUGUGGUGUACAGGCAUAGAAUGUCUUUACUGGAUCAUUGAAAUAGUAAGGUAAAUUGAACUUUUUACAUUGUUUUCUUUUCCUCCAGUUAGGGCUUGAGGUUUGUCUCUGGAGAGUGACUGACAAUUGCAGCCCUGCCUUUCUGGGGUUCUGGUCAGGGGGUUGUGGAUGCUUAACAUGUGCCUUUCACAGGACACUUCCUUACCCCAGCAGUGGCCAGGUGUGCAUCCCACGGCCAGGCCUCCCUCUCACAGAACAUCUGUUGAGACUAGGAGAUGCCUGGUGACUGUUGCCUGACCUGUGUCCUGUGUAUUUCUGACAAGAGCCACUCUCAGAGACCCUGGCCAGGAGGAGAGUUAGGUUCCAGUGUAGGUCAGCUCAGACACAUGGAGGCCACAGAACCAAACAUGGGAAAUCACAGAAGUAGGUUUAUUACUCACAGAUCCAGAGAGAAGAGGGUAGCUGAGAAGAGGGUUUAGCUGUGUCCCCAGCCAAAUCUCAUCUUGAAUUCCCACAUGUUGUGGGAGGGAACAGCUGGGAGGUAAUUGAAUCACGAGGACAGGUCUUUCCCAUGCUGUUCUUCUGAUAGUGAAUAAGUCUCACAAGAUCUGAUGGUUUUAUAAAGGGGAGUUUCCUGCACAAGCUCUCUUGUCUUGUCUGCUGCCAGGUGAGAUGUGUCUUUCGGCUUGUGCCAUGAUUGUGAGGCCUACCCAGCCAUGUGGAACUGUGCAUCUAUUAAACCUCUUUCUUCUGGAAAUUACCCAGUCUUGGGCAUGUCUUUACCGGCGGUGUGAAAAUGGACUAAUAGAGUAGCACACCUCAUAGGGCUGAACAAAAUGGGGAAGAUGAGUGGGGAG